rnacentral:misc_RNA from 1 species
AACCUAGCACACCUGCGGUGUGUACCUGCGGAGGGAUCAUUACCGAGUUAGGGUAGUCACUCACUGCCCGACCUCCCAACCCUGUGUCUAUCACACUUUGUCGUUGCUUCGGCGGACCGGUUGACCAACUGGUCAUGACCGCCGGGGGCUGGCUCUGUCCCCCCUGGAGAGCGUCCGCCGAUGGCCCAACCACAAAACUCUUGUACCGAAACGUGUCGUCUGAAUUAUGUUUGAGAAAUC